UACGUAGGGUGCAAGCGUUGUCCGGAAUUAUUGGGCGUAAAGAGCUCGUAGGCGGCUUGCCACGUCUGCCGUGAAAACCAGCAGCUUAACUGUUGGCUUGCGGUUGAUACGGGUUGGCUGGAGUUCGGUAGGGGAGACUGGAAUUCCUGGUGUAGCGGUGAAAUGCGCAGAUAUCGAGGAGGAACGAGCCGGUGGCGGAAGGCGGGUCCUCUGGGCCGAGUACAUGACGCU
rnacentral:rRNA from 1 species